rnacentral:rRNA from 1 species
CUACAAAGGAAUUGACGGGGCCCGCACAAGUGGUGGAGCAUGUGGUUAAUUCGACGCAACGCGAAGAACCUUACCAGGGCUUGACAUCCCCUGACCGCGUAUGAAAGUACGUUUUCACCCUCGGGUGACAGGGAGACAGGUGGUGCAUGGUUGUCGUCAGCUCGUGUCGUGAGAUGUUGGGUUAAGUCCCGCAACGAGCGCAACCCCUACGUUUAGUUGCUAACGCGUGAAGGCGAGCACUCUAGACGGACUGCCGUUGACAAAACGGAGGAAGGUGGGAUGACGUCAAAUCAUCAUGCCCCUUAUGUUCUGGGCUACACACGUGCUACAAUGGCCGGUACAGACGGACGCAAAGCCGCGAGGUGGAGCAAAUCCUAAAAAGCCGGUCUCAGUUCGGAUUGCAGGCUGCAAUUCGCCUGCAUGAAGUCGGAAUCGCUAGUAAUCGCAGGUCAGCAUACUGCGGUGAAUACGUUCCCGGGCCUU